UCUUCCACAAUGGGCGAAAGCCUGAUGGAGCAACGCCGCGUGAGUGAAGAAGGUUUUCGGAUCGUAAAACUCUGUUGUAAGGGAAGAACAAGUACAGUAGUAACUGGCUGUACCUUGACGGUACCUUAUUAGAAAGCCACGGCUAACUACGUGCCAGCAUCCGCGGUAAUACGUAGGUGGCAAGCGUUGUCCGGAAUUAUUGGGCGUAAAGCGCGCGCAGGCCGUCCUUUAAGUCUGAUGGUAAAGCCCACGGCUCCUCCGGGGAGGGUCAUUGGAAAAUGGGGGACUUGAGUGCAGAAGAGGAAAGUGGAAUUCCAAGUGUAGCGGUGAAAUGCGUAGAGAUUUGGAGGAACACCAGUGGCGAAGGCGACUUUCUGGUCUGUAACUGACGCUGAGGCGCGAAAGCGUGGGGAGCAAACA
rnacentral:rRNA from 1 species